AUGGCUUCUUCUUCCUUCGCCGUUUUUGCGGCUAAAGCCAGUUGCUGGCUCCUCCUCCUUUCCCACAGCGUUUCCGGCUGGUCCGACGCCGGCGCGACGUGGUACGGCCCCCGCAUCGGCGGCGGAAGCGACGGUGGAGCGUGCGGGUACCAGCGCGACGUGGAGAGCCCGCCGUUCUCCGCCAUGAUCACGGCCGGCGGCCCCUCCCUCUACAAGAACGGCAAGGGCUGCGGCGCUUGCUAUCAGGUGAGAUGCAGCUCCAAUGCCGCUUGCUCCGGCCGCCCAGUGACGGUGGUUGUCACCGACCAGUGCCCCGGCGGGCCGUGCCUGGCCGAGGCCACCCACUUCGACCUCAGCGGGAAGGCGUUCGGCGCCUUGGCAAAGCCCGGUCAGGCCGACAACCUCCGCAACGCCGGCAACAUCAAAGUCCAGUACAACCGGGUUCCAUGCAACUGGCGAGGGGUUGCCUUCAGGGUCGACGCUGGCUCAAACCCGAACUACCUCGCGGUGCUCAUCGAGUAUGAGUCCGGCGACGGCGACCUGCAGGCGGUCGAGCUCCAGCAGCGCGGUGGCAGGUGGGCGCCGAUGCAGCAGUCGUGGGGCGCCGUGUGGAAGUACAACUCCGGGUCCACCCUACAGGCGCCCAUGUCGAUCCGCAUCACCUCCAGCUCUGGGAGGAAGCUCGUCGCCACCAACGUCAUCCCCUCCGGCUGGCAGGCUGGCAAGACCUACCGAUCCAUCCACAAAUAG
rnacentral:rRNA from 1 species